AUAAAAGAUAAUAGUAAGGAAAUAGAGCUAUUUCCCAUUAGGUUCUAGUCAUUUCUUCUGACUUAAUGCCACCAGAUUAUUUUGUUGCCAGAAUUUACUAAAUUUGAAUAAAGAUGAACAGUAUUCAUUUUGGAUGCAUCCGUAAGUAUACCAGUACUGUAUUCUAGAAACUGCAUAAAAAUGAAUUAUUUCUGCAGCUUCCUGGCCUUCUCCAGUAUUUUGUUGGUUUUAUUCACAUUUGCUUUUCCUUUUUCAAACUUGGAGGCACAAUUUCAAUCAUUGAAAAAUCAAUGCAUAUUUUGUUUCAAGAUACUUGAAACAAAAAGCACAGCUGCUAAACUUCUGUUAAACCGUAUAUGAAUGUGUAAAGCACAUGUAUUAAUGCACCUAUGUCCUUUCAGGUGGGAAUGGAGUAAACCAGUUGCUUUAUUGUUUUUAUUCAUCACAGAAAAUAUACUUAUUCCCAAGUCAUGUACCUGUGUAAAGCUUUAAGAGAAAUGUUUUCAGUAAUUUUCAUUUUCCCAAAGAAACUUAAUAUUUUGUGUAAUUGUGUGACCUGAUUGCUUUUCCUUGGAGCUUGGUUUCUUUUUUUAUGAGGCAAAUUUUCUGAAAUGAUGCAUAUUUUAACACUUGAUUCAUAUUGCCACUGUGCUGUCCUUGAACUGCCAAUGAUUUUAAUAAAAUAUCUAGUUUUUACUAUUUUUAUAUAUUUUACUUUACAGAAGAGCUGAGCCUGAUUCAAAUCAUUUUUCUAGUUUUGUACUUUUUAGUUGUUUUUUUCAUUUUAGAGAUUUUUUUAAUUUUUUGUUUUGUAGUAUAUUUAUAUGUCUGAUUAUAUCAGAUUAUAUAUAUACUUGCAUACACACACACAAACACAGCACACAGCCUUGGAGACAAUCAAAUAACAACCGAAAAUGUGAAGGUAUAUAACAAUUUUUGACAAAUUUCCCUUGAAUGUUUAUUCUUUGCUUGAAACAUUUAAGACUUCAGUCACUGUGGUUUAUUUUAUUUUUCCCCUGACAGUAGUUACAGAAAUAGAAUCAGAAGUGAUUGGCAAGCGUGACCACUAUAGGUUUCAUAGAGUUAUGCUGACUUGGCCUGUUACUUGAUUCUAGGAACCAGCACAGUUAAUGAUAUUGUUAUUUCUGAUUUAUCUUUUAUUAAACGCUGUAAACCUAAAUGGAUCCUGUUGUAAGUGCCAGGUCUAGUCCAGGUAUUUAAGUUCAUGUUUCACUAUUUGCACUUUGCAUUAAGCAGUGGAUUCAUUCGCUGAUAAAAGUGGUCCAAGCAGAGAAUUUAUGCAGAAUUAAAAGUCCAUUAUGUUUACCUUUCUCCCCUCACCCAGGGGCAAGAAGCAGAAUAUGAGCUCAUUUAAUAUGAAUAUGGCCUCAAAGCUUUAGAAAGUGAUAAAGCUGUGCUUCUUUGCCUUGGUUCUACAUUGUCAUCUGGAGAGGAGAAGGGCUAUUAGAAACACCGUGUCCAACGAGACGAAGAACCAAUACAUUAUGUGGAACAUUGAAAGCUUUUCGGUUAACCCCUACCAAGACAAAUGACCAGCCUCUGCCCAGGAAAAUAGUUAUUAGCUCUGCCUUUGGUUUUCAACUUGAAGUUGCUGAAUUGCAAACAAUCCAAGUAAGAGUUGGGUGGUUAUUGAAAUACUUUUAGGCCAACUCUUGUACCAAUUCUCAUUUAAUCCAACUUGUGACUGGUUUUCUUUUUGGUACUGGGAAAAGUGUAAACAGAACAUGUAUUGAAAUACAUAUUGAAAGUAAAAAUGUUUGGGUGUCAGUUGUAUUCUCCUAGAAUGUACUUUUCUUACCUCGGCAUGUACUGUAGUCACUCAGUAUUUGUAUAUGUUGCUAGAAUUUUACAUUGUAUAGUAAGAUUUUAUUGUGUUCAUGUUUUUUAAAAAUUGUGUAUAUGUGUCUUGCUCAGAUUAUUUGGCUUAAAUAAACCACCCUUGAAGUUUGUAGAUUUUUGUCAUAAAAUGCCAGGUUUCUCAAUAUUGCAACAUUUGAGAGUGCCACUGUUGGAUUCUUCUUUUGAUUUUAUUUCCAUGGUCAGCGCCAUCCUUUUUGGAGUCUGAUUUUAGCUCCUGUUUGAUAUUAAACAACUUUAGCAGC
rnacentral:lncRNA from 1 species